GAUACAAGGGAGCCAAGGUCAAAAGGCCGGCGCAAGCUCGCUUGCAGACGGAAUUUUGACCUUGGAGACCGCUCCGGCAUGAGGAAGGAGCCCGAUCGGGCGGAUUCCGAAUGGCGGAGGUGGGAUUGCGUGAGGGCGAAGCACGAAGCAAUCC
rnacentral:sRNA from 1 species